rnacentral:rRNA from 1 species
AUUGAACGCUGGCGGCAUGCCUUACACAUGCAAGUCGAACGGCAGCACGGGUGCUUGCCCCUGGUGGCGAGUGGCGAACGGGUGAGUAAUACAUCGGAACAUGUCCUGUAGUGGGGGAUAGCCCGGCGAAAGCCGGAUUAAUACCGCAUACGAUCUACGGAUGAAAGCGGGGGACCUUCGGGCCUCGCGCUAUAGGGUUGGCCGAUAGCUGAUUAGCUAGUUGGUGGGGUAAAGGCCUACCAAGGCGACGAUCAGUAGCUGGUCUGAGAGGACGACCAGCCACACUGGAACUGAGACACGGCCCAGACUCCUACGGGAGGCAGCAGUGGGGAAUUUUGGACAAUGGGCGAAAGCCUGAUCCAGCAAUGCCGCGUGUGUGAAGAAGGCCUUCGGGUUGUAAAGCACUUUUGUCCGGAAAGAAAUCCUUGGCUCUAAUACAGUCGGGGGAUGACGGUACCGGAAGAAUAAGCACCGGCUAACUACGUG